GGGCUCAUAGCUCAGUUGGUUAGAGCGUUUCCUUGACAUGGAAAAGGCCGGAGGUUCAAGUCCUCCUGGGCCCACCA
rnacentral:tRNA from 1 species